rnacentral:lncRNA from 1 species
UUUUCCCCCAAUAAAAUCAUCAGAUUUGUACUACUUUGUGAAGAGAUCUAUGAUUUGAGUCUGAUUGGCUGUUCAUGCAUUAACUUUGUUCCACUUAAAGAUGUACAGCAUGGUCUUAGAGUUCCGAAUAAAUAAGAAAAGAGCAUUUCGCUUUCUCCGCUUGUACUGACACGUAAGAGUGAACACAUUUUCCACCAGAGAUAAUGGGACUUGUGGUAGGUUAGCACGAGGAUGGAGGCUGUUCCAGUGUAGGUCUUAAUUCUGAUCCUCUUCUCGAAUUUGCUCACUGACAGUUUAUAUGAACUUUUAGAUUUCAUUCAUUCUGUCAUCUAGUGGAUAUUUAUUGCACUCCUGUUAUGAACCAGGAACCCAGGGGUGUUCCCUGUCCUCAAGAUGCCUGCCAUCGUACGGAGGAUUAUGACUGAAGCAAACCAGUGGUUUCAAUGCAGUGUGAUUUGUGCUAUUGUAAAGGGAUCCUAGAGUACUACGGGAGCCAGCAGGGAGAGCAUUUACUCAGACUUGGGGAAGGGAUGGGGUGCCUGGAAGAGCUUCCUGUGGAAUUGGCUUUAGGCUGAAAGAAGUAAAGGGGGUGGAGGGAGGAGGCAGAAAUUGCCAGGAAGAUGAAAACACACGCAAAGUUCCUGGGGCAAGAGCAAGCUCCGUAGUUUGGAGGAACAGCAAACAUGUCCACGCAUGGUUGGAAUAUAACAUUCCCAGGGUAAAGCAUGGGAAGAGGUGAGGCUGGAGGGCUGUGAUUAGGAAAGGCCUUGUGAUUUGUCCUUAUCCUGAGGCAGGGAGCCACUUAAGGGUUUCAGUAGACGAGUGACACAAUCACCCCUCGGUUUUAGAAAGAGCACAGUGGCUGCAGCACAGAGCGUGAAUUGAGGGGAGCAAGACUGGCCACGGCGAGAAGGCAACACGCAGGCAAGAGAUGGUGGCGGGCUGCACCACGGAAUAGAGGAGCAGGACGGGGAGAGACGUUUCAGAGCUGGAAUGGACAGUGCCUUGUGGCUGUGAGAAGGAGACGAUGGAAAGAGAGGAGGCAGGAAGACGCCAGGGUCUAGUUUGGGUUUUAGGAAGCUGGGGGUGUUGGAGGAGAAGCAGGAUUAUUAGGAGAGAUGACGAAGUUCAUCGUGGACAUGCUGGAUUUGAGGUGUUGAGAUGUUCAAGAGAACAGUGAUGUCCAGUCCAGCUUGGGGGUCUGUGGGUGUGGAUAUUAGAGAUGAUAAGUCAACGGGGCAGACGAGCAAUCCAGUAAAUGCAGGAAAUUAUGCUCCCACUUCAACAGGUGAUCUUACAGCUGGAAAAUCAGUGGGUGAAAACGGAGAUACAGCAACUCUCACAGUGACGGGCUCUUGGCAGUCUGAAGAAGCAUGAACCAGAACUAAGCCUGGUCUCUCAGGAUUUGGUGGAUGUCUAAGUUGCAGGGUUAAGAAGUUGCAGUUCCUUCUUUCAACUCAACCUCUAGCAGUUGGAUACAGAAGCAAUUGUCGAACCUGGGCACCUAAGGGGACAGGACUGUCAGUGUCCUGGAAAUCAUGUUCUUCUCUUUGGUUUUCACCACCUCUUAAUGGCAUAUCUUCUAUAUUUCCUUUAAUGCGAACACAGGUAACGAGUUGGUUAUAACCCUUUUCUCAGGGCCAGGCUGCCAUGCCAUCGCUCCUCCAGAGAGCAAACACGAAACAUGAUCCUAUGGCAAGAACAUACAAUGCCAGGUCCCUGGAUUUAGGUCCUGCUCUGUCAUUGACUGUAUAUUCCCAUAAAGAAGAUUAAAACUC